rnacentral:rRNA from 1 species
ACGGGAGGCAGCAGUGGGGGAUAUUGCACAAUGGGGGAAACCCUGAUGCAGCGACGCCGCGUGAGUGAAGAAGUAUUUCGGUAUGUAAAGCUCUAUCAGCAGGGAAGAAAAUGACGGUACCUGACUAAGAAGCUCCGGCUAAUUCCGUGCCAGCAGCCGCGGUAAUACGGAAGAUGCGAGCGUUAUCCGGAUUUAUUGGGUUUAAAGGGAGCGUAGGCGGUCCUUUAAGUCAGCGGUCAAAUGUCAGCGCCCAACGCUGGCCUGCCGUUGAUACUGGAGGACUUGAAUACACACAAGGAAGGUGGAAUUCGUCGUGUAGCGGUGAAAUGCUUAGAUAUGACGAAGAACUCCGAUUGCGAAGGCAGCCUUCUGGAGUGCGAUUGACGCUGAGGCUCGAAAGCGCGGGCAUCAAACAGGAUUAGAUACCCUGGUA